CUACGAGACCAUCUUUGAUCCUACCCCCCACGUACGGCUAUCCAGUACAAAGUUCCUACUUACUGCUUGGAAAGAAUGGAGCAAUAAGCUUAUUGACUCAGCAACGUUAAUAAAGUGUGCCCCAAUUCUGGCCCUUCAAGCAUUAUCACCUGACCUCCCAGUGGGAUCUUGGAUCAAGGGAGGCAUAGCAAAAGUCUCUGAUUUGU